rnacentral:rRNA from 1 species
GACGAACGCUGGCGGCGUGCUUAACACAUGCAAGUCGAACGAAGAGCGAUGGAAGCUUGCUUCUAUCAAUCUUAGUGGCGAACGGGUGAGUAACGCGUAAUCAACCUGCCCUUCAGAGGGGGACAACAGUUGGAAACGACUGCUAAUACCGCAUACGAUCUAAUCUCAGCAUCGAGGAUAGAUGAAAGGUGGCCUCUACAUGUAAGCUAUCACUGAAGGAGGGGAUUGCGUCUGAUUAGCUAGUUGGAGGGGUAACUGCCCACCAAGGCGAUGAUCAGUAGCCGGUCUGAGAGGAUGAACGGCCACAUUGGGACUGAGACACGGCCCAGACUCCUACGGGAGGCAGCAGUGGGGAAUCUUCCGCAAUGGACGAAAGUCUGACGGAGCAACGCCGCGUGAGUGAUGACGGCCUUCGGGUUGUAAAGCUCUGUUAAUCGGGACGAAAGGCCUUCUUGCGAAUAGUGAGAAGGAUUGACGGUACCGGAAUAGAAAGCCACGGCUAACUACGUG